rnacentral:rRNA from 1 species
UACGGAGGAUGCAAGCGUUAUCCGGAAUUAUUGGGCGUAAAGCGUCCGUAGGUGGCUAAUCAAGUCUGAUGUCAAAGCGUGGAGCUUAACUCCAUACCGGCGGUGGAAACUGAUGAGCUAGAGUGCGAUAGGGGUAGCAGGAAUUCCCAGUGUAGCGGUGAAAUGCGUAGAGAUUGGGAAGAACACCAGCGGCGAAAGCGUGCUACUGGGUCUGCACUGACACUGAGGGACGAAAGCUAGGGGAGCGAAAGGG